rnacentral:rRNA from 1 species
UGGGGAAUAUUGGACAAUGGGCGAAAGCCUGAUCCAGCCAUGCCGCGUGAGUGACGAAGGCCUUAGGGUUGUAAAGCUCUUUUGGCGGGGAAGAUAAUGACGGUACCCGCAGAAUAAGCUCCGGCUAACUUCGUGCCAGCAGCCGCGGUAAUACGAAGGGAGCUAGCGUUGUUCGGAAUCACUGGGCGUAAAGCGCACGUAGGCGGAUUGUUUAGUCAGGGGUGAAAUCCCGGAGCUCAACUUCGGAACUGCCUUUGAUACUGGCAAUCUCGAGUCCGAUAGAGGUGGGUGGAAUUCCUAGUGUAGAGGUGAAAUUCGUAGAUAUUAGGAAGAACACCGGUGGCGAAGGCGGCCCACUGGAUCGGUACUGACGCUGAGGUGCGAAAGCGUGGGGAGCAAACAGGAUUAGAUACCCUCGUAGUCCCUGAGCGGGCUGGCAAGGCGCAU